rnacentral:rRNA from 1 species
GACGAACGCUGGCGGCGUGCCUAAUACAUGCAAGUCGAACGAACAGACGCUGAGUUUGUGCCUUUGGCGAUAGGGGGGGGCGGGUGGGUAACAAGAGGAUACGCUACCUAUCUGACUGGGAUAAAUACGAGACAGCGGCGAUUACUCAGGAUAAACUAUUGAUCCGUAUGGUUGAUUAGUUAAAGACGGGUGUGGUGUGCCUUAUCGAUGGGUCCGCGCCGCAUUAGCUAGUUGGUAAGGUAACGGCUUACCAGGGCGACGAGGCGUAGCCGAGCUGAGAGGGGGAUCGGCCACACUGGAACGGAGACACGGUCCAGACUCCUACGGGAGGCAGCAGUAGGGAAUCUUCCGCAAUGGGCGAAAGCCUGACGGAGCAACGCCGCGUGAGUGAUGAAGGUCUUCGGAUCGUAAAGCUCUGUUAUUAGGGAAGAACAAAUGUGGAAGUAACUGUGCACGUCUUGACGGUACCUAAUCAGAAAGCCACGGCUAACUACGUG